rnacentral:rRNA from 1 species
CCAAUAGCGUAUAUUAAAGUUGUUGCAGUUAAAAAGCUCGUAGUUGAAUUUCGAGAUCAAAUUGUUGGUCGUGCCUUGGUACGCACUGGCAUUAUUGGUUUCUCCCUUCUGAAGAACCAUGAUGUCAUUAAUUUGGUGUCAUGGGGAAUCAGGACUGUUACUUUGAAAAAAUUAGAGUGUUUAAAGCAGGCUCGCGCUUGAAUACAUUAGCAUGGAAUAAUGAAAUAGGACGUUUGAUUCUAUUUUGUUGGUUUCUAGGAUCGACGUAAUGAUUAAUAGGGAUAGUUGGGGGCAUUAGUAUUCAAUUGUCAGAGGUGAAAUUCUUGGAUUUAUUGAAGACUAACUACUGCGAAAGCAUUUGCCAAGGAUGUUUUCAUUAAUCAAGAACGAAAGUUAGGGGAUCGAAGACGAUCAGAUACCGUCGUAGUCUUAACCAUAAACUAUGCCGACUAGGGAUCGGAUGAUGUUAAUUUUUUAAUGACUCAUUCGGCGCCUUACG